rnacentral:lncRNA from 1 species
UCAUCACUUGAAAUUUCUUUUGUUACAGUUUGUUUCUCUUCAUCCACAUAUGUUGUUGUUGCUGAUGUAAGACGAUCUUCUUUCGGGUUUGAAUCUUCUGACUUGGGCACCAAUUCAGGGAUUUUUACAUCAUAGACAGAUUCAAGAUCUAGUGGCAAAGUUUUAAGGGUUUCUUCUGUUGUAGUUACUAAUGAACUUGAGGGUACAAUAUCUUCUUGAGGUUUGACUUCUGUUGUUUCAUUUGAAUCCUUAGAUUUUUCUUUUGAUGCUUCAUCCAAACCAUCAUUCUGUUGCUCAACAGGUUCAAUCUCCCUUGUUCUUGCAUCUUGAAAGCACUUUUCUUCUUUAGUUGUAGUGUCAUUUGGAUUCUCUAUGCUGUCAUGGGAUAAAUGUUCAUCCUUUUUUGUGAUUUCCUCUUCUUCUAUAGUUUCACUUAUGGUUUCAGUUGGACCUGCCUGUAUCUCCUCAACAAUUUGUCCUUUAGGUUGACCAAGCUCUGACGACACCUGUUUAAAAUAUAUUUUUUUAAAUAAUUUAAUAUAACAAACAACUGAAUAUCGAAGAAGGUUGAGCUAUAUCUGUUAUAAAAUGAAGUCUUUUGAAUAUUCUAUCUGUUAAAAGAUGAUAUCCAACUUUGAAUGAACAAAUGAAAACAUUUUGAUGUUAUAGUUCCCUUUUUCACAUGUCCACUGACCUCAUCGGUUAAUUCCUUUUCAUCUGAUGUUGUUGUCUUUUCAUCUGCUAAGUCCUUUUCAGGCAAGAUGACAUUCUCCAUGAUGUUUUCAGGGGUGAUGUCUGAUUGUUCUGGUUGAGGCUUUGUUUCCUUAACCUGGUAUUCUUCUAUCACCAUCUUAGACAUGGGUUUGAGUUCUCCAUGUAGUUCUAGAUUCUAUUUUGCAAAAAAUAAACCAAAAUAAUGCAGAUAGUUUUACUUUCCAUAUGACAACAUAAGUGUUCAUGAUAGAGUGAUAUGUCAAUAUGCAUUAACAUCAAAAAUCUUGAAAAUUUUCUAACCUCUGUACUUGAAGUUUCAUUAGCUAUAACUUCAUGUUCUUUCUCUCCAUUGUUUUCAUCUGUAUACUCGGUUGUUGCUGAGACAAUGCUCUCUUCUUUCACUUUUGAGUCUUCUGAAUCAACAACUACUUCAGGGGUUUGUACAUCACAAACAGAUUCAAGAGCCUGUUUGGGUGACUCAUCGAUUUCUAAUGGAUCUGAAUACGAUAUCUGCUUAAAAAAAUUCAUGUUAACACAUAUUCAUACAGCAUGAACAAAAUACUAUUCUCAUCUUUCUGUUAAUAGACUAACCACAGGUGCCUUUUGAUCUUCUGUUGAUUUCUCUUGUAGCUCUGUGGAAUUACUAUAUUCCUCAACAAUCUGUUCUUUGAGGUCAUCUGUUCCCUUUUCCUUUUGUGUCUCUAAAGGUACCUGUUCAAUCUAUAUAACAUUCAUGUAAGCAGACCCCUUUGAUGACUUGAUAGAUAAGCAAGUGGUUAUAUAUUUAUCGUAUUCACCUCUUUAGUCAAGAUGACAUCCUUUGAUAUCUCACUGCAGUCUUCGGUGCUAUUAAGCUGAUUUUCUUGUGUAACAUCCUCUUUUUCAUACAGUGAUUUGUUUUCACCAAUUUCUGUUGUCUGCAACCAUUAGUGUCAAAGUAUGUCAAUAAAGCACAGAAGAAAUGCAAGAAAAAGAUGAUGUGAACUGUAGGGACGUUUUUCUGUCUGACCUCUGCACUUGAAACUUCUUUUGUUUCUGUUUCUUUUUCUUCAUCCACAUGCGUUGCUGUUGUAAGACACUCUUCUUUCAUGUUUGAAUCUUCUGACUCGAGCCCCACUCCAGGGAUUUGUACCUCAGAAACAGUUUCAAGAUCUUCAAGGAAGAUCUCUUUAGUCAUUUCUGUCUGCUCCUGCCUUUCAUCAGUAUUGACCACUGUGGUAGCAUGUUGUCCGAUUGUUGUUUCUUUUAUAUCCUCACUGGAUGCAUUUUGUGAGCUUGUAACAUCAUCUUCACCAUCUUGGACUUCUUCUGACAUUUUGAGGUCUUUUUCUUUUGCUUGAUUUUCCUCUUUGCUCACUGUUUCAUCCUCAUUCAAUUCAGAUUCAACCUUCUCUAAUCCUGUCACUUCAUGGACUUCCUUAACCAGGGAGCUUUCAGACUUUUCUGUUUGACCAUCAUCAUUGACUACAUCCUCCUUUUUUUCUAUGGUUUCGACACUAGAUUUGAUUUCUUCAGUGUCUUCCUCUAUACUUUCUCUAGUUUCAAAAAACUCAGGUUCUUUACCUUCUUCUUGGUAGUUCUUUUUUUGCAAGUCUUCUUCUAAUGCUGCAACCUGUGAGGUUGUUACAUUGUCCUCACCUUGACCUUCUGCCGACAUGUUGACCUGAUCCUUUUCUUGAUCUUCAUCUUUAAAAGUUUCUAUUGCUUUUAUCCCUUCUUCAGAUUCAACCUUUUCCGAACUAGUCUCAUCACAUACCUCUUUGACAGAGUGGAUAGGAGGCGUUUCCAUUUGAUCAUCAUCAUGCUCAAUAGGCUCUUUGUUUUUUUCUUCAGUUUCUGUUUUCUCUUCUUGAGAUUCCACUUGUGCUGAUGUGAAAACAUCAGUUGUGAUGGCAUGUGGCAACUCUCCUUGCUCCACUUUUUCUUUUGUUUUAACAUUUGUGCUUAUAAGUUCAUUAUCUUCCUCCAUGCUUUCUCUAGUUUCAAAAAAUACAUCCUCAGAGGCUGCAACUGUAUCCUGUGAGCAUAUAACUUCAUCCUCACUUUGGUCUUUUUCUGGUAUGUUGAGCUCUUGUUCCUUUUCUUGAUAUUCAUCUUUGCUUAAAAUUUCUAUUUCUUUCUCAUUCUGAUACAUAUCGGAAUUUAUCCCUUCUUCAGAUACAGUCUUCUUUAAGUCAGUCUCUUCACAUACUUCCUGUUGCUCCUUUUCAUCUGUUUCAACACUUGGUUUGAUUUCUUCAGUAUACAUCUCUUGCUCAAAAAUUAUGCUGGCACUUUCUUCUAUUUUAUCUUUUGCUCCAUUAUCAUCAUACUGCUCGCUUGCCUAUAUGAAGAGUGUAUUUUGAGUACAUGGGCAGAAUGGACAAUACAGAACUUGGUAAGUCUAAUGUAUAGUCAAAGUUUGUAAAACAAUCUGUGUAACAGCUUAGUUUAUUGGUCUCUUUUUCAAAAGAAAAUUAUGAGCAGCAUUUGCUCUAAAGUCUAAACUACUUUAUAAAACGGGUUUCCCUUAGAAUUUAUCAUUUUCAUAAAUAUCCACAACUUGCUUUUCUUCUAGUUCUAUACCCCUCCCCAAUUGUACUGUUCAAUUGAAUAAAUCAAGUUCUGUAUUUGAAGUUACACUUAAUAUGCUCUAUAAAAUAUGUAUUUUAUCUUGUUUAGGGCCCUUAAAAUGGUCUAAUAUAUAUAUAUNNNNNNNNNNNNNNNNNNNUAUAUAUAUAUAUAUAUAUAUAUAUAUUUGUAAGAGAUACUUGAACUACCGAGUUGAACAACUUAUGCAUUUGUUACUUUCUCAAACACAUGAGAUGAGAAAUUUUGUAGCAGACAACAUAAUGUCUUGAUAAUUUUAGCAUUGCAAGUUUAGUUGGAAUGAUGUACAAGUAAAACCUUUUGAAAUAAUUAGAGAUUACUUAAGAUGAACAUAAAUUACCUCUUGAGCAUGAAUUGAUUUGUCUUCUAUUUCUUCCUUGAGGAUCUCUUUGGUCAAUGCACUAUCAUCUUUGCUCUCCUCAAAAUCAACCACUGUGGUAACAUGUUGACCAAUUGUUGACUCUUGUAUAUCCUCACACGUUGCAUCUUCUGAACUUGUAACGGCAUCCCCACCACCUUGGACUUCUUCUGGCAUUUUGAGUUCAUGUUCCUUUUCUUGAUUUUCCUCUUUGCUCACUAUCUCAUUCUCAUUCAAUUCAGGUUUAGCCUUCUCUGAUCCUGUCACUUCACACACCUCCUUAACCAAUGGGCUUUCAAACUCAUCAUUGACUAUAGCAUCUUCCUCAAUCUUUUCUUCAUUUUCCAUAGUUUCUUUUUUAGGUUCUAUUUCUGUUGAGCUGCAAACAUCAGUAGUAAUGACAUGCAGCAACCCUUGUUGCUCCAUAUUUUCUUUUGUUUCUAUACUAGAUUCGAUUUCUUCAAUGUUUUCCUCUACACUUUCUCUCGUUUCAACAACUUCAGGUUCUUUACCUUCUUCUUGGUAGUUCUUUUCUUGCAAGUCUUCUUCUAAGGCUGCAACCUGUGAGCUUGUUACAUUAUCCUCGCCUUGACCUUCUGUUGACAUGUCAACCUGAUCCUUUUCUUGUUCUUCAUCCUUGAAAGUUUCAAUAGCUUUUACCUCUUGUUCAGAUUCAACCUUUUUUGAG